rnacentral:rRNA from 1 species
UACGUAGGCAGCAAGCGUUGUUCGGAAUUACUGGGCGUAAAGAGUGUGUAGGCGGUGCUCCAAGUCUGGUGUGAAAUCUCCCGGCUCAACUGGGAGGGUGCGCUAGAAACUGGAAUGCUAGAGGAUGGGAGAGGUAGCGGAAUUCCUGGUGUAGCGGUGAAAUGCGUAGAUAUCAGGAGGAACACCUGUGGUGUAGACAGCUUACUGGACCAUUUCUGACGCUGAGACACGAAAGCGUGGGUAGCAAACAGG